GAUGAACGCUGGCGGCGUGCUUAACACAUGCAAGUCGAACGAUGAACCUCACUUGUGGGGGGACUAGUGGCGAACGGGUGAGUAACACGUGAGUAACCUGCCCUUGACUCUGGGAUAAGCCUGGGAAACCGGGUCUAAUACUGGAUACGACCUUCUGGCGCAUGCCAUGUUGGUGGAAAGCUUUUGUGGUUUUGGAUGGACUCGCGGCCUAUCAGCUUGUUGGUGGGGUAAUGGCCUACCAAGGCGACGACGGGUAGCCGGCCUGAGAGGGUGACCGGCCACACUGGGACUGAGACACGGCCCAGACUCCUACGGGAGGCAGCAGUGGGGAAUAUUGCACAAUGGGCGCAAGCCUGAUGCAGCGACGCCGCGUGAGGGAUGGAGGCCUUCGGGUUGUAAACCUCUUUCAGUAGGGAAGAAGCCGGCUUUUGGGUUGGUGACGGUACCUGCAGAAGAAGCGCCGGCUAACUACGUG
rnacentral:rRNA from 1 species